CAGAUUAAGCCAUGCAUGUGUCAGUACAGGCCGUUCUAAGGCAAAACCGCGAAUGGCUCAUUAAAUCAGUUAUCAUCUACCAGGUUAUAUAUUAACUUACUCGGAUAACCCUGGUAAUUCUAGAGCUAAUACGUGAACACGAGAACCCCGACCGCAAGGGAGGGGUGCUCUUAUCAAAUAAGAACCAAUCGGACCUCGGUCCGUGAAAUCCCCAGAGCUGACACUAGAUAAUAUUCUGCCGAGAGCACGGUCUCCGCACCGGCUCCCACCCUCACGAAUUUCUGCCUUAUCAUGCUAUGGAUUGUAGGCCACGUGCCUACCAUGGCUUUAACGGGUGACGGGGAAUCAGGGUUCGAUUCCGGAGAGGGAGCCUGAGAAACGGCUACCACAUCCAAGGUG
rnacentral:rRNA from 1 species